GCUCAGGAUGAACGCUAGCUACAGGCUUAACACAUGCAAGUCGAGGGGUAGCAGGGCAGCAAUACCGCUGACGACCGGCGCACGGGUGAGUAACACGUAUCCAACCUUCCCAUAACUCGGGGAUAGCCUUUCGAAAGAAAGAUUAAUACCCGAUAGUACUUAUAUAAGGCAUCUUAAAUAAGUUAAAGAUUUAUUGGUUAUGGAUGGGGAUGCGUUCCAUUAGAUAGUUGGUGAGGUAACGGCUCACCAAGUCUUCGAUGGAUAGGGGUUCUGAGAGGAAGGUCCCCCACAUUGGUACUGAGACACGGACCAAACUCCUACGGGAGGCAGCAGUGAGGAAUAUUGG
rnacentral:rRNA from 1 species